AAGUCGUAACAAGGUUUCCGUAGGUGAACCUGCGGAAGGAUCAUUAGUGAAAAUUGCUAUUUUCAUUGGCCUAUCUAUACCCCUUUGUUUACCUUACCAUGUUGCUUCCACUGGACAGGCCAACUCAAUUGAGGAGGCCCUCUGGCUUCGGCUGGGGAGUGCUGGUGUGUAGCCAAAACUAAAAACUUAAAUCUGAAAUUUGUCUUAUAGUCUGAAUAAAUAUAAAUUUUUAUAAAACUUUCAACAACGGAUCUCUAGGCUCUU
rnacentral:misc_RNA from 1 species